GACAGCUCAAAUUUGAAAUCUGGCCCCUAGGGUCCGAGUUGUAAUUUGUAGAGGAUGCUUUUGGUGAGGUGCCGCCCGAGUUCCCUGGAACGGGACGCCACAGAGGGUGAGAGCCCCGUCUGGCUGGCCACCGAGCCUCUGUAAAGCUCCUUCGACGAGUCGAGUAGUUUGGGAAUGCUGCUCAAAAUGGGAGGUAUAUGUCUUCUAAAGCUAAAUAUUGGCCAGAGACCGAUAGCGCACAAGUAGAGUGAUCGAAAGAUGAAAAGCACCUUGAAAAGAGGGUUAAACAGUACGUGAAAUUGUUGAAAGGGAAGCGCUUGUGACCAGACUUGGGCGCGGCGAAUCAUCCGGGGUUCUCUCCGGUGCACUUCGCCGUGUUCAGGCCAGCAUCAGUUCGGCGCGGGGGAAAAAGGCUUCGGGAACGUGGCUGCUCCGGCAGUGUUAUAGCCCGUUGCAUAAUACCCUGCGCUGGACUGAGGACCGCGCAUCUGCAAGGAUGCUGGCGUAAUGGUCACCAGCGACCCGUCUUGAAACACGGACCAAGGAGUCGUCUUCGUAUGCGAGUGUUCGGGUGUCAAACCCCUACGCGUAAUGAAAGUGAACGCAGGUGAGAGCUUCGGCGCAUCAUCGACCGAUCCUGAUGUUCUCGGAUGGAUUUGAGUAAGAGCAUACGGGGCCGGACCCGAAAGAAGGUGAACUAUGCCUGUAUAGGGUGAAGCCAGAGGAAACUCUGGUGGAGGCUCGCAGCGGUUCUGACGUGCA
rnacentral:rRNA from 1 species